UACGAAGGGGGCUAGCGUUGCUCUGAAUCACUGGGCGUAAAGGGCGCGUAGGCGGACUCUUAAGUCGGGGGUGAAAGCCCAGGGCUCAACCCUGGAAUUGCCUUCGAUACUGGGAGUCUUGAGUUCGGAAGAGGUUGGUGGAACUGCGAGUGUAGAGGUGAAAUUCGUAGAUAUUCGCAAGAACACCAGUGGCGAAGGCGGCCAACUGGUCCGAAACUGACGCUGAGGCGCGAAAGCGUGGGGAGCAAACAGG
rnacentral:rRNA from 1 species